CGCUGGCGGCGUGCCUAACACAUGCAAGUCGAGCGGAGAUGAUGUGAGGAAGUUUUCGGAUGGAAUCACAUUAUUUAGCGGCGGACGGGUGAGUAACGCGUGAGCGACCAACCUUGCACAGGGGGAUAACGGACCGAAAGGUUCACUAAUACCGCAUGAGACCACAGUGUUGCAUGACACAGGGGUCAAAGGAGCAAUCCGGUGCAAGACGGGCUCGCGUCCGAUUAGGUAGUUGGUGGGGUAACGGCCCACCAAGCCUAUGAUCGGUAGCCGACCUGAGAGGGUGAUCGGCCACAUUGGAACUGAGAUACGGUCCAAACUCCUACGGGAGGCAGCAGUGGGGAAUAUUGGGCAAAUGGGGGAAACCCUGACCCAGCAACGCCGCGUGAAGGAAGAAGGUUUUCGGAUUGUAAACUUCUGUCCUUGGUGAAGAGAAGAAGACGGUAGCCAAGGAGGAAGCCCCGGCUAACUACGUGCCAGCAGCCGC
rnacentral:rRNA from 1 species